rnacentral:rRNA from 1 species
UUACAGCCACAUCAGGUUGAAACACCGGUUUCCAUAUGAUUACUGAAGUUAAGCAACAUCGAGCCUGGUCAGUACAUAGAUGGGUGACUGCUUGGGAAUACCAGGUGCUGUCA